AUUGAACGCUGGCGGCGUGCCUAACACAUGCAAGUCGAGCGGUAACAGGUGUAGCGAUACAUGCUGACGAGCGGCGGACGGGUGAGUAACGCUUGGGAAUCUGCCUGUUAGUGGGGGACAACCCGGGAAACGUCGGGCUAAUACCGCAUACGCACUACGGUGGAAAGCCGGGGACCGCAAGGCCUGGCGCUAACAGAUGAGCCCAAGUCGGAUUAGCUAGUUGGUAGGGUAACGGCCACCAAGGCGACGAUCCGUAACUGGUCUGAGAGGACGACCAGUCACACCGGAACUGAGACACGGUCCGGACUCCUACGGGAGGCAGCA
rnacentral:rRNA from 1 species